UACAGAGGGGGCAAGCGUUGUUCGGAAUUACUGGGCGUAAAGGGCGCGUAGGCGGCCUGUUAAGUCGAACGUGAAAUCCCCGGGCUCAACCCGGGAACUGCGUCCGAUACUGGCAGGCUUGAAUUCGGGAGAGGGAUGCGGAAUUCCAGGUGUAGCGGUGAAAUGCGUAGAUAUCUGGAGGAACACCGGUGGCGAAGGCGGCUCACUGGCCCGGUACUGACGCUGAGGUGCGAAAGCGUGGGGAGCAAACAGG
rnacentral:rRNA from 1 species